AUUGAACGCUGGCGGCAGGCUUAACACAUGCAAGUCGAGCGGAGAGAGGUAGCUUGCUACCGACCUUAGCGGCGGACGGGUGAGUAAUGCUUAGGAAUCUGCCUAUUAGUGGGGGACAACAUUUCGAAAGGAAUGCUAAUACCGCAUACGUCCUACGGGAGAAAGCAGGGGAUCUUCGGACCUUGCGCUAAUAGAUGAGCCUAAGGCGGCGUAGCUAGUGGGAUGGGUACAGGCCUACCAAGGAGACGAUCUGUAGCGGGUCUGAGCGGAUGAUCCGCCACACUGGGACUGAGACACGGCCCAGACUCCUACGGGAGGCAGCAGUGGGGAAUAUUGGACAAUGGGCGCAAGCCUGAUCCAGCCAUGCCGCGUGUGUGAAGAAGGCCUUAUGGUUGUAAAGCACUUUAAGCGAGGAGGAGGCUACUUUAGUUAAUACCUAGAGAUAGUGGACGUUACUCGCAGAAUAAGCACCGGCUAACUCAGUGCCAGCAGCCGCGGUAAGAC
rnacentral:rRNA from 1 species